rnacentral:misc_RNA from 1 species
UUUCCGUAGGUGAACCUGCGGAAGGAUCAUUAUUGUAUAACCGAGGUGCGAGGGCUGUCGCUGACCCGAAAGGUCGUGCACGCCCGAGUGCCCUCACACAUCCAUCUCACCCCUAUGUGCACCACCGCGUGGGUCCCCCUUUGGCUUGUUCGGAGGGGGGCUUACGUUUUCACACAAACUUUGUAUGCAGUGUAGAAUGUAUUUUUUGUUUUUGCGAUCACGCAAUCAAUACAACUUUUAACAACGGAUCUCUUGGCUCUC